rnacentral:rRNA from 1 species
UCUACGGGAGGCAGCAGUAAGGAAUAUUGGUCAAUGGACGCAAGUCUGAACCAGCCAUGCCGCGUGCAGGAAGACAGCCCUACGGGUUGUAAACUGCUUUUGUACGGGAAAAAACCUCCGGUCGUGCACCGGAGCUGGUGGUACCGUAAGAAUAAGCAUCGGCUAACUCCGUGCCAGCAGCCGCGGUAAUA